UCUACUACUGUCCCCAGCCAGUUGAUGUGCCAUUAGAGAUGUUAUCUCAUAUCCUGAAAACAAAUGAAGAUGUGGUCUCUUACCUGGCUCCCAAACCUUAAUAUAAGUUGGGGAGAAGUGCUAUGGAGAUCUUUAAAUGCUCACAGGAUAGGCAAGCACCAUACAGAGACUCUAAAUUAUGGUGACCGUGUUGCUGAUGGUGAGAGGGAGUUUAAACUUGGAGCAAGAAGGAGGGAACUGUGGAGGAAAACAGAAACGGAAAGGUCAGCAAGAAUGAUUUCUUGAUAGUUUUGUGCAAUUUCAACCUUGUUUUGGGAGCUUUUGGAACAACAUCCUCUCAUUUAGCAUUCCUUUUGUCUUCCAUGGUUUGACAGUAACUCUAACAAAUGUAGUGCUUUUUUUAGUCACAGUAGCUAACAAUUAGUUAGCCGGUGGCAACAUACACUUCCCAUAGGAUGUUGCUUCUCAUUCCCAACUAGAGAAAGAUGAUGACUAAAGAUGACAGAUCUAUUAAUUAUCUAUGCAUGUUUGGUUGUUUUCUUCAGCCUUAAGGAUUCCACUUAAUGCAGAUCAUAUGGAAACUGCCGGAAGGAUUGUGGUGUCCGUGUAUGACAGUUAGGAGUGAAGCUCUCCCUUCCAAAGGACACCUGUGUAGUUUGUGUGCACCUCUCACAGGCAAUCUUAAAUAAUUUGUAGAAGCAGG